rnacentral:rRNA from 1 species
AUUGAACGCUGGCGGCAGGCCUAACACAUGCAAGUCGAACGGUAACAGGAAGAAGCUUGCUUCUUGCUGACGAGUGGCGGACGGGUGAGUAAUGUCUGGGAAACUGCCUGAUGGAGGGGGAUAACUACUGGAAACGGUAGCUAAUACCGCAUAACGUCGCAAGACCAAAGAGGGGGACCUUCGGGCCUCUUGCCAUCGGAUGUGCCCAGAUGGGAUUAGCUAGUAGGUGGGGUAACGGCUCACCUAGGCGACGAUCCCUAGCUGGUCUGAGAGGAUGACCAGCCACACUGGAACUGAGACACGGUCCAGACUCCUACGGGAGGCAGCAGUGGGGAAUAUUGCACAAUGGGCGCAAGCCUGAUGCAGCCAUGCCGCGUGUAUGAAGAAGGCCUUCGGGUUGUAAAGUACUUUCAGCGGGGAGGAAGGGAGUAAAGUUAAUACCUUUGCUCAUUGACGUUACCCGCAGAAGAAGCACCGGCUAACUCCGUG